rnacentral:rRNA from 1 species
GACGAACGCUGGCGGCGUGCCUAAUACAUGCAAGUCGAACGCAUUUUCUUUCACCGUAGCUUGCUACACCGAAAGAAAAUGAGUGGCGAACGGGUGAGUAACACGUGGGUAACCUGCCCAUCAGCGGGGGAUAACACUUGGAAACAGGUGCUAAUACCGCAUAAUUCCAUUUACUACAUGGUAGAUGGAUGAAAGGCGCUUUUGCGUCACUGAUGGAUGGACCCGCGGUGCAUUAGCUAGUUGGUGGGGUAACGGCCUACCAAGGCUGCGAUGCAUAGCCGACCUGAGAGGGUGAUCGGCCACACUGGGACUGAGACACGGCCCAGACUCCUACGGGAGGCAGCAGUAGGGAAUCUUCGGCAAUGGACGCAAGUCUGACCGAGCAACGCCGCGUGAGUGAAGAAGGUUUUCGGAUCGUAAAACUCUGUUGUUAGAAAAGAACAAGGAUGAGAGUGGAAAGUUCAUCCCUGGACGGUAUCUAACCAGAAAGCCACGGCUAACUACGU